AGUAGUAAGGUAUGGAUGUAUGGUAGUGUGGGAUAUGAACGAUGAUUGAAAGGGGUCAUAACGCUCUCUCUUAACUUCGGGUUUUCUUAAUGAAGAUAAUUCCUUCUCCUAUAUAUUAAGUCGAAUUAUAAUCGAAGUAAGGGGGUAAGUUAGAAAGGGAAUUAAAGAGGGAUAGAAAAAGUAGAUACUUCAUUGUGCUUGUUUUAACUUUGUCCAUGGCACUGGCAUUGCUGGGAGCUCUGUGGAAGGAACUCAGUAACUCAGUAGAGAAA